GAUGAACGCUGGCGGCGUGCUUAACACAUGCAAGUCGAACGGACGGAGGGAGCUUGCUCCCAAAGUUAGUGGCGGACGGGUGAGUAACGCGUGGGUAACCUACCCUAUGCAGGGGGAUAACAUUUGGAAACAAAUGCUAAUACCGCAUAACCUAGGAGUUUCGCAUGAAACACUUAGCAAAGAUUUAUCGGCAUAGGAUGGACCCGCGUUGGAUUAGCUAGUUGGUGAGAUAAUAGCCCACCAAGGCAACGAUCCAUAGCCGGCCUGAGAGGGUGAACGGCCACACUGGGACUGAGACACGGCCCAGACUCCUACGGGAGGCAGCAGUGGGGAAUAUUGCACAAUGGGCGCAAGCCUGAUGCAGCGACGCCGCGUGAAGGAUGAAUGUCUUCGGAUUGUAAACUUCUAUCAGCAGGGAAGAAUACCAUGACGGUACCUGACUAAGAAGCCCCGGCUAACUACGUG
rnacentral:rRNA from 1 species